UUCUGACAUUUCUUCUGAAAG
rnacentral:piRNA from 1 species